rnacentral:tRNA from 4 species
CAUAAAAUAGUUUAAUUAAAAUAAUAAUUUUGGGGAUUAUAGAUAAAGGUAUUUCUUUUUUUUUGA